rnacentral:rRNA from 1 species
UGGUGGAGUGAUUUGUCUGGUUAAUUCCGAUAACGAACGAGACCUCAACAUCUUAAUAGGGGAGAAAGCCGUCUAAAUGGGUGAAGUAGAUCUGGUAUCUGGAUCAGCAAUGGUUCAGGUGCACGGUUUAUGGAUCCCGGGCGUCUUAUCUUUUACACACCUCCCUUCUUAGAUGGACUGUUCGGGAUUACCGAAUGGAAGUUUGAGGCAAUAACA